AGCGAAGCAAAGCGGUCUUCCAAGGGACUGAACCAUGAUAACAGAGAGAGCUCUCGGGGAUUUCAGGGCUGAAAAGACAAACAAGGAAUGCGUUCAUAAUCACCAGCACAGUCACCUCUGCCGAGCUGCGACCACUGCUAAUUCCAGGUGAGAAAUCAGAAAACAGGCGAGGGGGAGAUUUUCCCUAAGUGCCAGCAUCAACAGUUCUCUGGACUCCCAUCUGAGGAUCCUUCCCAGCUCCAUGAGGCAGCUUGCCAAGCUGAACACCGUGGGAGGAGACUGGACUCUUGCUCAGAGCUCUUUUGGGUUUCAGUGCAAAUGACUCAGGAGGAUUCCUAUACCCCAGAAAAUCAAACUCCUUACAAAAGAAAACACAGCUAUAAGUGUUGGUGGGAAAGUCCUCUGAACUAGGAAAUGUUAUCGCAUUAAAUUAAUCUUCCUAAAUGAGCCCAAGAUGUCUGCUCCACAUCAUCAGAAAGCUAGGAAUGUUCUGGAAUGGUGGAGAAAUUAAGCAGAACAUCCUCCUACCUUCAUUUAUGAGAGCCCUAAAACUAUCCCAGAUAAAGAAAGGCUCCCAGUUAGAGAGCAAAAACAGCAAGUAAGCACUACAUGCCAACCCUGCUCAAUCAGUAGCAGUUGACUGGUCUGCUGUGUUAGGUAGGAUUCUGGGGUCCUGUCCUAGCUCAACCUGAAAGGGUGCAGUGAUCAAUAUGUGGAGUCUGCUUUGGCCAUGGUAAGGGUGGCAGCACCAUGCCAGGCAUUUGCCAUGUCUCUUUUAGAACCCCAAACAAAUCUGAUUUACUUUCCUGGGACAAACGCUCACUCAUUCUACCAAUGCCGGUCUGUUUCAUUCCAUCAGUUUCCUUGUAUAAAAUCUGAGGCAAAUGUCUCCUUUGUGAUAGUUGACACUGUUGAACUGCGGGAUAAACUGCUUUGCUAUGUAUGGUGGUACUAGGACCUCAUCUCAGAAUCUCACUCACUCAUACGCUCAGUACGCACAAGUUGAGUGUCCGCUAGAUGCCAGUCAUUGGAAGUGGAGAGAUUUAGCAAACCAGUGGUAUUGCAUAUAAGAAUAAUUAUUUUUCAAGGUUGCUAAUUCAUAAAAUAUUAUGUGCCACACAAAACUUAACAUUAAUACCCACCAUUUUUUUAUCUGAAAUUAACAUACCCUCAGUUAAGGGACCAAUAAUGACAGUGUAUAACAAUUGAUUAUAAUUAGUGUCUUGAAUAUUUAUUGCUUGGACAGCUAUAUUUUGAGGAAAGUGUCUUUAAACAAAAUAGCUAAAUAUUGGUUAUCUUUAAAGUUCAUUAAAGUUGCUAACUUAGAAAAAAAAUCUAACAGAAUAUACAAUAAUCAUUCACCAAAAGCUGCAUGUUUAAUAAAUAUUUAUUAGAAAC
rnacentral:lncRNA from 10 species